rnacentral:lncRNA from 1 species
GUCUUUACCCUAGUAUUGUAUGGUUUUAGAUAUAUCAAGUUGUGCAGGGAGAUGUGGGGAAGGGUAUUCUAGAGACGCCACCUGCAACUGUGAUUAUAACUGCCAACACUACAUGGAGUGCUGUCCUGAUUUCAAGAGAGUCUGCACUACAGAGCUCUCCUGCAAAGGACGCUGCUUCGAGUCCUUCGCACGAGGGAGGGAGUGUGACUGUGACUCCCAGUGUAAACAGUAUGGCAAAUGCUGUGCAGACUACAACAGCUUCUGCGAAGAAGUGCAUAAUCCCACAUCACCACCUCCAAAGACUGCACCCCCGCCUCCAGGAGCGUCUCGCACCAUCAAAUCAACCACCAAACGUUCACCCAAAUCACCAAAAAAGAAGACUAAGAAAGUUGUAGAGUCUGAGGAAAUAACAGAAGAACAUUCUGUUUCUGAAAAUCAAGAGUCCUCCUCCUCCUCCUCUUCCUCCUCUUCAACUAUUCGGAAAAUCAAGUCUUCCAAAAAUUCAGCUAAUAGAGAAUUACAGAAGAACCCAAAAG